rnacentral:rRNA from 1 species
AACGAACGCUGGCGGCAUGCCUAACACAUGCAAGUCGAACGAGACCUUCGGGUCUAGUGGCGCACGGGUGCGUAACGCGUGGGAACCUGCCCUUAGGUUCGGAAUAACUCCCCGAAAGGGGUGCUAAUACCGGAUAAUGUCUUCGGACCAAAGAUUUAUCGCCUUUGGAUGGGCCCGCGUUGGAUUAGCUAGUUGGUAGGGUAAAAGCCUACCAAGGCGACGAUCCAUAGCUGGUAUGAGAGGAUGAUCAGCCACACUGGGACUGAGACACGGCCCAGACUCCUACGGGAUGCAGCAGUGGGUGAUAUUGGACAAUGGGCGAAAGCCUGAUCCAGCAAUGCCGCGUGAGUGAUGAAGGCCUUAGGGUUGUAAAGCUCUUUUACCCGGGAUGAUAAUGACGGUACCGGGAGAAUAAGCACCGGCUAACUCCGUG